rnacentral:lncRNA from 1 species
GAAAUCUCUUUGUCAUGUCCUUCACCUUGGUAAUGAAGUAAUUUCAGAGUGACAGAGCCAUUUCAGCCUGAGAGGCACAUUUCCCCCUGCGGGUAGUCAAAGGAGAAGAAUUGCUCUAUUCUGCAGCAGGCACUGAGUCUCCUCUCUCCAGAUGUCUGACUUAGCUCCUCUAUGACAAACUCCAACAGAAGGCAAUGAUUAAGAGGGCCUGACGUGGAGACGCGGACAGAAGAAUUUCUCUCGGGUGCUUCACAAAUAAAAGGCUACUCCUCACCUGUGUAAAACUCCACAUGAAAAACAAAUGCAGCAGUAGCAAGUUGAGAAGCAACCCAUUCCUAACACUCCUGCAGACCUGGACCAGUUCUCACACAGCAGACGAUGCAUCAGUCACGCCACCUUAGGUUUCUAGAUUCGAUUCGGGCACUUGUCCCAAAUACUAAUUGUACCAGCUGUGGUGGAUUUUUGAAGGAAGGAACGUUUCGUUACAAAACUGUUUCAUUGCUGAAGGUAAACAGAACUGUUGACAUGUUCAUAUUAGCUGACAUUAAACAAAGGCAGAUGCUUCCGGGCAAUCCUUGUGGCAAGUGCCA